ACAGUCACACUGGCUGCGUUCGGAACCGCAUACUUCCCUACUAUAUAGUAGGCAAAAAGCAGUAGGCGAGCGAAUAAGUAUGUUUGAAUCUUUCAUAUUCAUAAAAGAGUAGGCGAGAAUUAGUAGGCGAGUGCACUCAUUCUCGCGAGAUUUGGACGUACGUAUACUUAAUUUGCGUUCUAAUAUGCCUACUUACCUACUAUAUAGUAGGAAAAAAGAGUACGUGAAGAAAGAAGUACGUUCGAAUCCUAACAGAGUAGGCGAGGAAUCCCCGGAUGUCCUACUGCUUCAGACCAGAUUCUGGAGUGUUCAUCGAUGGAUACUUUUCAAUCCCAGGAAUCCACAGGAGAGCAAUACGUCAUAAUCGAACGUGAUUGAGAACCGCGACGAAGGUGUUUACAAAUGGACAGAUGAGACACACGUGUGUUUAUCCGGUGAAGAGUGACUGAUGAAGGAAUGCUGCCAAAGGCUUUCAACCUUUUGUGGUGGAACAGGUGUUGGCAGCGUUUGUGGGAAGAAAGGAAGACCUGAAACAAAAAUAUAAAACUGGUGUGAGCAGUGAGAAAGGAGAAAUCCACAGCAGCAUCCUGGAAAUGGUCCGGUGCCAUGGAUGAGACCCUCCAUCACUCCACCUGCCCUUACUGCCUCAUCUGGGCCAGAUUUUUCUGUGGCCUCUUCAUGUAGUCGAGCAGACACGGUGAUGGCCAGAUUGUCCCGCACAUGUUCUCCCAGUCUCGCCUCAAGGUUGUGGGGUUCAGUGGUGUGUCUUCAUGGUCUUUCUCAUCCUCUGGCUCAACAACAUCCAUAUUGAGAAGAGUGAGACUGUGAAGCACAGCACAGCAGAAGAAUUGGCACAGCUGCAUUGAGAUGGCAAUAGGAUGUGGGGUUCACCAACUGUAAAUACAUGAUUGUUAGAGCAAUAAGUUUGAAUAAAGCUCUGUUUCAUCUGUU